rnacentral:rRNA from 1 species
AGACCCGAAACCCGGUGAUCUAGCCAUGGGCAGGUUGAAGGUUGGGUAACACUAACUGGAGGACCGAACCGACUAAUGUUGAAAAAUUAGCGGAUGACUUGUGGCUGGGGGUGAAAGGCCAAUCAAACCGGGAGAUAGCUGGUUCUCCCCGAAAGCUAUUUAGGUAGCGCCUCGUGAAUUCAUCUCCGGGGGUAGAGCACUGUUUCGGCAAGGGGGUCAUCCCGACUUACCAACCCGAUGCAAACUGCGAAUACCGGAGAAUGUUAUCACGGGAGACACACGGCGGGUGCUAACGUCCGUCGUGAAGAGGGAAACAACCCAGACCGCCAGCUAAGGUCCCAAAGUCAUGGUUAAGUGGGAAACGAUGUGGGAAGGCCCAGACAGCCAGGAUGUUGGCUUAGAAGCAGCCAUCAUUUAAAGAAAGCGUAAUAGCUCACUGGUCGAGUCGGCCUGCGCGGAAGAUGUAACGGGGCUAAACCAUGCACCGAAGCUGCGGCAGCGACACUGUGUGUUGUUGGGUAGGGGAGCGUUCUGUAAGCCUGUGAAGGUGUGCUGUGAGGCAUGCUGGAGGUAUCAGAAGUG